GUUGUUUACCAAUGGGACCCUGCAACCAGAGCUAUAGUUAACAAGCUGGACUGUUCCAAGCUGGUGCCGUGUUCUGAGAGCCUCAAGUCUAUCAGUAUAGAAGAGCAUCUCAGUCCAGGCCGCUGUCAGGUGACCAGUCUGUGUGUGCUGGACUCCGAGGUUUACAUCGGCACAACCUGGGGAUGUAUCGUGGUGGCAGAGCAAGCGACCAUGCGACCAAUCACAGUGUUCCGGCCCUUCCAGGAGGAAGUGUCGGCCAUCUUGGCUUUACAGCCUCCAUCAGGGGGUGAGACUGUCCUAGUCACUGUGGGUAGAGGCUACCGCAGUCUCAUCAAGAGAUACAAGGAUGUGACGGGCACCUCCACAGUCAACACACAGGCUGCUACGUACGCCUUGCUGUGGGCCACUCGCAACUGGGCUGCAGUCUAGUCUGUCAAUCCUUCCUAAAGUACGGCCUAAAGUUACUAAUACAUAAGACGUUUGUAGUGAGAAUAUUCUAUAACCAAUUGAUAUUAGUUUUAUUUUAGAUUUUUAAAAUAUGACGAGCGUAAUCUUUGCUUCUUUUGAGAUCUCGAAGCAAAACUACUGAAUGCUUGUAUUUAUAUGUAUUUACAAUGACUAGAGGUAACAAUGAGUUUCACUGCUAGUUGGAGAAUGGUAACGAUAAUUUAAUACGUAACCAGGUAGUGAAGAUGUAUUUUUACAUUUAACCCUUUGGAGACCAACCCUAUAGUAUAUGACGCGCUGCUUAGGACCGGGGUACUUUUAACAGUUUCUGCAAUGUUUUAAAAAAAAUACUAUAAGUUUUGAAUAGCACCUCUCUAUCACAUUUUUUGCAUGCUGUUCUAGAUAUAAAAAAAAGUUAAAUAAUCGUUUGUUUAAACUGCCGAUAUAUCGGAAGUUCAUCGUUAAUAGCAAAAACACCAACUUCCGAAAAAUCGGGAGGUUGGUCUCUCAAGGGUUAAAAUAGGUUAAGUUAUGCAUUCAAUUAUUUUUUUUUUCAUUUCAACAAAAUUAUAUUUUAAAAGUCAUUUAAGCCAUUCUCAAAAAAAAUUAAGCUAUAUUUUUACUGUGACAAAACUUAACAUAGGAAAAUGCAAACUAUUAUUUUUUUUUAUUUAGUUUACUCCUUAAAACUUAGAAAAAUCAAUUUGAUUAAUAAUUUUUUAAUGUGUGAAUAUGUCAGUCUAAUACUCAUCAAAUAAUAUUAAUAAUUGACAGUAAUAAUUGUUUGUUUUUUUCUACUGUGAGUUAAAAGAGUACUACGCUCACUUGUCCAUUCCCCCGAGAGCUAACUAGGAAAUGUGAUAUUUAUACUUUCUUAGCUUUAUUUUGGAAUAUCAUAUUUUCAUGUCCAAAUAUAAUAAGAGUUAGUAAUUUAGUUUCUAUCUAUACUACAAAAGUCCCUCCUAUGCUACUUACUGUGUCUCUAAGUCAAAUUACCAUCCAUUUGUGAACAAAUUAUGAUUAUUAUGAUUUAAGUUAAAAGACGUUCCAAACGAAUCAGUCAUUCAAUGUGUUUGUUAUUUUUUUUUUUGUUUUUUUUUUUAAUCAACAGUCAAUAAUUUCAUUUCUUACAUUAAAAUGUGAAAAUGAAAAAUGUAAACCUCUGUUUUCAAAAGUAUUUUAAUACUUUAAUACUUUACUUUGAAAUGGCGAUCAUACGAAUGUUUUUAUUUUAAACAAAGUAUGAAUGGAGAUGAGUAUAGGAUGAGUGGCGCGAUCUUGUAGUGUUGUUAGUGACUUUGGCCGACAUAUCCCUUAGACACCGGAACUAAUAAUAAAUUACUUUUGACAUCAAGUAAAGUCCAUCGUAUAAACAAGAAUAUUAUUUUAUGUGUGGAUGGUAAUCUAACCUUGCUUUAAAAGACUUUGCCCUCUAUCAUAGUCUACUUUUUAUCAAAGUUUAGAACAACAUUAGAAUAGUCACUUCACUCCACUAUAGUUAUUGAUUUCUUAAGUACAUUUUAAAAAUGUAAAGUUUAAGUUCAUUCAUUUUAAUGCAGUCAUGACUGAUAUUAAAUUAUAUAUAAUGUGAAAAUAUUACUAUGAAAUAUGUUUUUUUUAUUAUUCAAGAUGUGUAUUUUUUCAGUGUUCUGAACGAUAGUAGUGUUUCAAACUUUUUAAUGUCUUAAAAUUCUCUUGUAUCUCUUUUAGUUUUAUUCUUGUAUCUGUAUUAUUUUUUUUUAUUUUAUUUGAUAGAAAUUAUUUUUGUAUAUUUGUUUGGGUAAUUUAUAGGUUAUUAUAAUCUAGUUGUGUAGAUCACACCAACUAGAAUAGCUUUACAGUAUGUGACAUAUGCCAUAUGCAUGUUUGGUGACAUUGUAGUUUUGUUGUGAAAUGUAUAGUUUUUGAUGGAUUUUGCUCUCGCUGCUGAUCUAUUACACACAGUAUGAUAGAUAUUGUAAUCAGCUAGCAAACACCAGCCUAUUGUGCAUUGUGUGUAUGUCACUUACUGUUAUUGUUAUUAGCAAGCUUGGUAUGAAACACAAUGUAUUCACAACUGCUAGUCAUUAGAACUUAGGGUUUUGGUUGUUUUUACUUUUUUAGAUUAACUGUUUAUAGUCAAGUAAACAUUUUUAGGGCCUAAUACAACUAGUCUCUUCGUUAAGUAAAAUAAUUGUAUGUUAAAACUUCAGUUAUUCUUUUCCUUAAUAAUUGAAUUGAAGACAGAUCUGUACAAAAUACUGAAACCAAAGUGUCAAAAUGUGUUUCAAAGAUAUAAAAGUUUUAUCUCAUCAGUUUUAUGGUUGAAAACAAUACAUUUAAAUCACAACAAUCCAAGUAUUUGAUCAAAUAAUUUCUAGUUAAAGUCUAAUACAAAAAUGUACUUUUAUGUAACUUGUAUUUUUUUUACAAAAGUACUAUAAAAUAUUUUUUUAAUGUUAUAUCAUGUGAAACAGUUGAACCUUUCAGUUAUAAACAACAACAAAGGGUAUUUUUUUAAAAUACUUAAUAUCUUUUAAUGAUUUCACCUGUAAAUUGAGUCUGAAUUGAAUUGUAUACCGUACUUUUAUUUCUAUUGGGUUUAUAAUGUGAAAUUGAAAUGGCUUUAACAAUAAACAAUUAAAUGAUUGGUUCUUGAUCAGAAGCAUUCCUUAAUGAAAACAUUUGACUCUGGGCUUAGUUUUGUUCCAGGAAAGUCUCUAGGCCAGGAUUUUGAAUUUUAGAAUAAGGAGGAGCAGCUAGCUUGUCUAGAAGAAGUGUAUGUAGGCUACAGAACACACAGAAGAGACACUCAAUACACAAUUUUUCGUCCCCUGGAGGGCUUAGUCAAGUGUAGAAAAAGUGAUUAAGUUUACAAAAUGGGUACCUAUGUCUUUGUGUUCUAUGGUCUACCUACACUUCUUCUAGGUAAGCUAGCUGUUUUCCUGCUUAUUCUGCAAUGACACUGGGUUUAUUUUCUAGUAGUCUUGCAUGAUUCAUUUCUAUUUUAACUUAGGAGAAUCUUCUUAAAAAAUGAAAUAACAGUUUUAACUGUAUUAAUUCUUUUAUGUUUGUCCGGACUACAAGAUACAGAAUGUGUAAGUGUUGAUAUUUAUAUAAGUAAUUAAGUAUGUUAGCUAAGCUAUUUAUCUGUUGAUAUAUAUGAAUAUCUUUAUUUUGUAAUAAAGAGAAGUUUGAAUGAUCAAUCAACUAUGUCAAUGUUAAGAGCAUUGGUCUUGAAAAGUUGUCUAUAUCUGUGAACUCUUGUUAACGAAUGCAUUUCCUGAAUGUCCGACUUAGACAUAGCUUACAGCACUUUUUGUCAGUGGAAUUAAUAAAGUACCGUGAAUGGCAAAUGUCAAUGGCUAUAAUAUUCCAUUGCCUUUUAAAAAUUAGUUAUAAUAUAGCCUAUAUUUCUUAUUUGCUUUCAAAAUAUUUCAUAAGAUAUGGUUAUUUCUGAGAUAGUGUAAUAAUUUUCGUAUAGAACUAAUAUUUAAAUCGGUGAAAGUUCACCACCGGAUUUUAUAGGUUGAUGAAACCAAACUGAUAGCAUUCAAAAUAAGCCGUCCAUAAUAUUUUAAUAUUAAUGCAAAGCUGUUGGCUCACAAGUAUUAUAUUUAUGAACAUUAUUCUCUGUAAAAACCAAGAUACAUACUAAACUUUAAUUAUCCCCUGCCUGCUGAUUUUAUUUAUUAUCCUGAUAUUUUAUAUUUUGCCCAAAUCAAAAGUAACUUUUAACAUCUUUAAUAUAUACAUUUGAUCUCUGGAAUGUAUUUGAUUCAUUUAGUGGAACACAAUUAGAAAAUGUGAUUAGUUUUUCUCUGUAGUAUAUUUAAUAUUUUACAUUUAAUUGUAAUCGUUAAGGUUGUGUAAUUCAUUUACAUUUUUAACCAAAUUUUACCAUUGUACUUAAAAGAAUAAUCAUUUCAUAAAUCUGAUAAAGUUAACUUAAUGAAACUUGAAAAAAUAAUUAAAACUUAGCAUAAAAUGUUGCUACUUUUUGAAAAUAACUAAUCAAUACAUUUGUCAUUCAUGUUUUUAUCACUUAAAAAUGACUGUGUCUGCAACUUCCACUAACAUUGUAUUGUAUUGUAAGAUACCUUGUCUUGUAUUGUAUAGGUAUUGUAUUGUAAAAUACCUCGUCUUUCAGUAUCAAUCUCAUGUGUCAAAUUACGCCGUUCACAUACCUUAACAUGAAGACAAGUUAUCAAUAAACAGUUAAACAAACCUU